rnacentral:rRNA from 1 species
AGAUUGAACGCUGGCGGCAUGCCUUACACAUGCAAGUCGAACGGUAGAGUAGCAAUACUCGAGAGUGGCGAACGGGUGAGUAAUAUAUCGGAACGUGCCCAGUCGUGGGGGAUAACGUAGAGAAAUUUACGCUAAUACCGCAUACGAUCUACGGAUGAAAGCGGGGGAUCGCAAGACCUCGCGC